rnacentral:tRNA from 1 species
UCCGAUAUGGUGUAACGGCUAACAUUGCUGCCUUUCACGUGAUUCAAUCACAAGCAUCGCAGCGGCUCGGGGUUCGAUUCCCCGUAUCGGAA